GUUUUUUUUAACUCGCAUAUACUAAAAUUGGAACGAUACACAGAAGAUUAGCAUGGAUGACACGCGAAAUCGUGAAGCAUUACAAAUUUUU
rnacentral:snRNA from 1 species